AACGAACGCUGGCGGCAGGCCUAACACAUGCAAGUCGAGCGAAGCCUUCGGGCUUAGCGGCGGACGGGUGAGUAACGCGUGGGAACGUGCCCUUUGGUACGGAAUAGCCCCGGGAAACUGGGAGUAAUACCGUAUGUGGUCGAGAGACGAAAGAUUUAUCGCCAAAGGAUCGGCCCGCGUUGGAUUAGGUAGUUGGUGGGGUAAUGGCCUACCAAGCCGACGAUCCAUAGCUGGUUUGAGAGGAUGAUCAGCCACACUGGGACUGAGACACGGCCCAGACUCCUACGGGAGGCAGCAGUAGGGAAUCUUGCGCAAUGGGCGAAAGCCUGACGCAGCCAUGCCGCGUGUAUGAUGAAGGUCUUAGGAUUGUAAAGAUCUUUCAGGUGGGAAGAUAAUGACUGUACCACCAGAAGAAGCCCCGGCUAACUCCGUGCCAGCCGCCGCCGUAAAAC
rnacentral:rRNA from 1 species